CGUCUCCCGCUGGUUCCGCAGGGUGCGAGCGCCAUCCAGUGGCGGCCUGGCAGCGAUCUACAGCUUCGUUAUUAGGAACUUAAAGUAAAAUCCGGCUGUUCUAACCUUCCUAGAGUUCCCCAAGUUCAGAAGAAAGGAUGGUCCUGCGACCCUCCCCGCCCACCGGGGAGCAAAAUAGUCCGGGACCCUCCUACCCCGCCUUAGAACUGAGCCACUGAGGUACAUAAAAGAAAACUUGAAAUCGUCGAAAGAAGCUACAGGGGGACCAGUCCCGGCAAAAUCAGAAAGUAAAUCGAGACCAAGGAGUUCAUGGGAUCCAGAAAAUCAGAGAAUUAACCCAGGAGAGCAGCAAACAGAAGUCCCAGGAUAAUAGUUGUACAGGUCAGCCCAGAAAGCAGCCGGGACAAUGGGAGCAAAAAGACAAAGGGCUCCCAGCUAGGGAAAAAGCAAAGUCAGUAGAACUUCAGGAAAGAAAUAAGUCUAUGCCUAUGAGAAAGUGGGCAAGUUAAAACUGAGGUAACUCUUCUUCCUGGGGAAACAUAAAGCUGCACAAGAAAGGAAAUGAAAUUCUACUUAACUUUAUAGGGAGCAAAAUGUAUAUCAUUAUAAUGACUAGUACACCUUGAUGGCUCAUAUAACUGAAACUGCUGAUAUUUAAGGAAGAAUAAGAUGGGGGGGAGGUUGAGAGAACUGAUUCUAUAUCUUCCUGUCCUAAGAGGAAGACAAUAAAUAUGACUAAAAUUGAUCAAUCAAUAAAUAGCAGUAUAAUCAUAUUAUCAAACAAUGUGACGGUAACAACCGGGGGGAAAUGCUUAAGGAGGUAAAAGUGACUGCCUCUGGGUAGCAAAACCCGGAGUGGGGAAGGGCGAUGUCACAUCACUAUUUUUUGUUUAAAACCUCCUUGUACUAUCUAAAUUCUUGAAAUAUGAUUAAUUUAUCUUAAUUUAAAUAAUGAUGUAAAGAAUAACCAGGAAAAAAAUUGGGGAAAUCAGAGAAAUACAGGGAGGAGAGUCCAGCCCUGUGAGAUAUUUUUAAAUAUUAUGAAGUUACAGUAAGUUAAAUAAUUGGGACUAGCACAGAAUAAUGCAAGACUGUUCAGAUAUGGACCUAUGUAUGGAAAUUUAAUAAAUGACAAAGAUGACAUUUCUAAUCAAUGAGGAAACAUUGGGAUAUUCAAUAAAUAGUGCUUUGGAAACUGACUAGAAAUCUAGAGAAAAACAAGUGAAUCCCUACCUCACUUUACCCUUUAUGUCAAAUUCCAGAUGAAACAAAGAUUUAAUUUGUUUAAAAAAAUAAAACCGUAAAAGUUUAAGAAGAACACAUGGGGGGAAAAAGGAAAUUUGUAAUCUUAGAUUAAGGAAAGCCUUUAUAAAUUAGCCACUAAAUCAUGAAACCACGAAAAAAGAUUGAUUUGGCAGUUGCUGCUGGUUGCCGCCCUACUAUCCUUUCUCCUCUUCUUCCUAACUAAUAAAGGCUGAUUUUGAUGGUGGAAGGGAAUGAACCAUGUGCCCAAAAAAUCAUACUCAUCUUUCUAGAUUCCCUUGUACUCAGGGGUAGCCAUGUGACACAAUUCCGAUCAAUGAGAUAUAAGCAGAAAUAGUGAUUUCUGAGAAAGCUUUUCUUCCCUGAUACAAACCCAACCUCUUUAAUCUUUGCCCUUUUCAAUCUGGAAUGGAGAUGUGAGGACUGGAGGUGCAGCAGCUAUUUAGCAACCACGUGGUGACCAAUAAGGUGAUGAAGACUGCAUGGUAAGGAAGCAGAAAAAUGGAGAAAACCUGGUUCCCUGAUGGCAUCACUGAGCUCGUGAACUGCCUACCUCCAGACUUCAUGUUUGUUAAAAGACAACUUUCAAAAUAAGGAUUAUUUGUGGCAGCCACUUGCGCCAACCUCCUGGCUAUAAUUGAUUGGAGAAGAAGGUUAUCACCUGACCUUCAUAGGCCAAUCAGAUUUUCCCUCAUAGGACUCUGAAUAGAACUAAAUACUGGCCCUGGACUGACUCUUAAAUGAAAGAGAUGUGGACUUGUAUGUUAUAGAAAGGCUUUUUACCAGAGAAGUAGAAAGCUGGUCUGUCAGUCUGAGUCCAAUCAGGAGAGAGAAACCACACAGUAACUUGAAUAGAGACGAUUUAAUAAAAAGAAUUAUUAACUGUAACGCAGGAUUAGAGAAUGAUGGUUUGACUAGUAAGAAGUGAAGAGAACUCUAAAGAGUACAGGAAUAGUAGAAAUAAGGAGCAGCCACCCCUAGGGCUGAGACACGGUGCCCAAGGAAGCAGCACCUCCCAGGACUAAGAUCCAGACCUUGGUGGCCUCAGGUCCCUGCAUGGAAAAAGAAAAGAAGUCACUGUGGUUCCGCAUGAGUGGACCUUGCUGGAAAUCCACCCUCUGUUCUCAGAGAGGUGUCUCUCUGGAAGCACAAUGCUAUAGAACUACCUGGACAUGCAGGAGUUAGAGGAGGUCAUCGAGAGGAUGGGACCACCAGGUGACCCUCCAGCUCGACCUAGCCAAUCAGAGGCUCCUCAUGCCCUCCCCGUCCUUGGACCCUGCAUCCCACCAGCCUUCCCCACACUAGAAGCUCCGUCAAGGACACGCUCUUGAGAGAGUAAUGUAUUGUCGAGACCAUCUGGACUGUAUACAUGACUGAAGCCAGUUAAAGCCUCUAAAUAAACUUUUAAGAUUCUGGCAGGCAGAUGCAGAGAUCCAAUUGUCUCGCGGCUGCCCAAGACAAGCCUCGUAAGUAAGUUCCUUUGCUUAUUAAACCUGCCAGCUACCCAUCUGGAGUGGUCUGCUUCUUUCUUCAGUCUCUCCUUGCCCUUUGUGUUUGGGAGCCAGUUUCAGAUUUCACCUAGGAAACUCUGGAGGUUGUAAACCAACAGAGUGCAAGAAGAGGCUGUUGCCAGGAGAAGCCUCUGGCCACCGGGUGCUGCUGGCUGUCUUGCCCUGCAGGAGCUGGGCACUGGAGAAGCUGUGGCACUGCAGGAAUCUGGUGCUGGAAGAGCUGCCCAGGCUUCCAGAGCCAGACGUGAAGACCACACAUGUGCCUGGGCUCCAAGAGUUUACAGUGUGAACCUUAAUAGCUUGUCAAGCAAACACAGGAGAGCCAGAAGCAAAACCCUUCCUCCUGCAAUGUCUCUCUUGCACCCUCUGCUGACAAAGCUUCACGUCGUGCCAGCUGGCAAAGGCAACGUUUAAAGGACCCGGGUCCAUUUCACAGUCUAGGCAGUGAAGGGGAAACGGCGUGCUGAGACCAGCUCAGUUGGUCUUCAGGGAGAGAAUAAAGCUAAACAAAAACCACGACAGAGCCAUAAGGAAAAGACCCAACAAUGCAAUAGAAAGGGAAAAAAUACAGAGAAGCAGAGAGAAAAGCAGAAGCGAGAGAUAAGGCAAGAGGCCUGACCACCUUUGCUGUCCUUCCUGUGACCCAGCUGCAUCCUGUCCUUUGAUUCUAGGAGACACUUCUCUUUUUAAUAAAUGCCUCCUCUUUGUCAGCUGAAACUAGCUUGAGCUGGUUUUCAACCCUGCGACAAAGUCAUCCCAAUCAGUACAGGCUGGCAAUAAUAAGUCACUGAAUUAA
rnacentral:lncRNA from 1 species